rnacentral:lncRNA from 10 species
AGAGGCUGUGAUGCUGUGGUUAAGAGAGCAGAUCUGGAGACAGCCUGGAUUUAAAUCAUUUCUCUACCACCUUCAGGCAAGUUACUUAACCCCUCUGGGCCUUCAUCCCUUAUCUGUAAUGUGGGAAUGGAUAAUAGCCACCAUCCAUUUGGUGUAAGAAUUAAAUAAAAUCAUGCAUGUAUAGCCCAUUGGAGAAGGCCUAGCACUUAGCAAAGGCCCGUUAUCUUUAAUAUCCUAAACCUUCAUGCUCUGGGAUCACUUUUCCUCCUGAAUCUACCAGAGAACCCAUUUGCCUUUCCUCCACUGGCCCAGCCAGCUCAUCUUUGUGUUUCUGCAGCAUUAUUUGUGGAGCUGUUGACUGCAAUAUUCCUUUAAAAUGUCUCUAAAUUGUGUGCACCAACUUAAGUAAAUAACUGAAGGACCUAGUCCUCCUAUGCUGCCCAACAAGGAGCGCUAGUUUCAAGCACUCUAAAACUGCCAUAGCCUUCACACAACAAGGACAGCAGAGAAAGUCGUUCUUAGAUAAACAGGGAGGCAGAGGAGGGAUGUGGCGGGGUGGAGCAGGCAGAGAGAGUGUGCACAGAGAAUGCAAGUGAUGCACUUUGGUGUGGACAAGCUGAUUGCUGGCCUAAUUACUAUGGGCUCUACCGGGAAGGGGAGGGCAAAUGCCACAGCCCCGUCCCCAAAAGCCCUCAGCUCACCAGUCAGUGAUUCCCCUUGCUAUGAGUCUGUGUCUCCUGCUAAUGUGGACUUCAUGGGAUAGUGGGCAGGGUGAAGGGCAA